GAUGAACGCUGGCGGCGUGCUUAACACAUGCAAGUCGAACGGAAACAGGAUGAAGCCUAGCGAUUCCUGUUUUAGUGGCGGACGGGUGAGUAACGCGUGGGUAACCUGCCUUACACUGGGGGAUAACAGUUAGAAAUAGCUGCUAAUACCGCAUAAGCGCACAGGGCCGCAUGGCCUGGUGUGAAAAACUCCGGUGGUGUAAGAUGGACCCGCGUCUGAUUAGCUAGUUGGUGAGGUAACGGCCCACCAAGGCGACGAUCAGUAGCCGGCCUGAGAGGGUGAACGGCCACAUUGGGACUGGGAAACGGCCCAAACUCCUACGGGAGGCAGCAGUGGGGAAUAUUGCACAAUGGGGAAACCCUGAUGCAGCGACGCCGCGUGAGUGAAGAAGUAUUUCGGUAUGUAAAGCUCUGUCAGCAAGGAAGAAAAUGACGGUACUUGACUAAGAAGCCCCGGCUAACUACGUGCCAGCCGCCGCAGUAA
rnacentral:rRNA from 1 species